rnacentral:sRNA from 1 species
AGCAGCCGCGGUAAUUCCAGCUCCAAUAGCGUAUAUUAAAGUUGUUGCAGUUAAAAAGCUCGUAGUUGAAUUUCGGGAUCAAUGUGUUGGUCGUGCCUUGGUACGUACUGGCAUUAUCGAUUCCUACCUUCUGAAGAACCUCGAUGUCAUUAAUUUGGUGUCUUGGGGAAUCAGGACUGUUACUUUGAAAAAAUUAGAGUGUUUAAAGCAGGCUCGCGCUUGAAUACAUUAGCAUGGAAUAAUGAAAUAGGACGUUUGAUUCUAUUUUGUUGGUUUCUAGGAUCGACGUAAUGAUUAAUAGGGAUAGUUGGGGGCAUUAGUAUUCAAUUGUCAGAGGUGAAAUUCUUGGAUUUAUUGAAGACUAACUACUGCGAAAGCAUUUGCCAAGGAUGUUUUCAUUAAUCAAGAACGAAAGUUAGGGGAUCGAAGACGAUCAGAUACCGUCGUAGUCUUAACCAUAAACUAUGCCGACUAGGGAUCGGAUGAUGUUAAUUUUUUAAUGACUCAUUCGGCGCCUUAC